rnacentral:rRNA from 1 species
CCCGCCCCUUCCGCCGCCCCCGCCCGCCUACGGGAGGCAGCAGUAGGGAAUCUUCGGCAAUGGACGAAAGUCUGACCGAGCAACGCCGCGUGAGUGAAGAAGGUUUUCGGAUCGUAAAACUCUGUUGUUAGAGAAGAACAAGGAUGAGAGUAACUGUUCAUCCCUUGACGGUAUCUAACCAGAAAGCCACGGCUAACUACGUGCCAGCAGCCGCGGUAAUACGUAGGUGGCAAGCGUUGUCCGGAUUUAUUGGGCGUAAAGCGAGCGCAGGCGGUUUCUUAAGUCUGAUGUGAAAGCCCCCGGCUCAACCGGGGAGGGUCAUUGGAAACUGGGAGACUUGAGUGCAGAAGAGGAGAGUGGAAUUCCAUGUGUAGCGGUGAAAUGCGUAGAUAUAUGGAGGAACACCAGUGGCGAAGGCGGCUCUCUGGUCUGUAACUGACGCUGAGGCUCGAAAGCGUGGGGAGCAAACAGGAUUAGAUACCCUGGUAGUCCACGCCGUAAACGAUGAGUGCUAAGUGUUGGAGGGUUUCCGCCCUUCAGUGCUGCAGCUAACGCAUUAAGC